UACACUCCUGCGGGAGGCAGCAGUGGGGAAUAUUGCACAAUGGGCGCAAGCCUGAUGCAGCCAUGCCGCGUGUAUGAAGAAGGCCUUCGGGUUGUAAAGUACUUUCAGCGGGGAGGAAGGCAAUACGGUUAAUAACCGUGUUGAUUGACGUUACCCGCAGAAGAAGCACCGGCUAACUCCGUGCCAGCAGCCGCGGUAAUACGGAGGGUGCAAGCGUUAAUCGGAAUUACUGGGCGUAAAGCGCACGCAGGCGGUCUGUCAAGUCGGAUGUGAAAUCCCCGGGCUCAACCUGGGAACUGCAUUCGAAACUGGCAGGCUUGAGUCUUGUAGAGGGGGGUAGAAUUCCAGGUGUAGCGGUGAAAUGCGUAGAGAUCUGGAGGAAUACCGGUGGCGAAGGCGGCCCCCUGGACAAAGACUGACGCUCAGGUGCGAAAGCGUGGGGAGCAAACAGGAUUAGAAACCCUGGUAGUCCCAUGA
rnacentral:rRNA from 1 species